rnacentral:rRNA from 1 species
UUAAGUUAGAAAGGGCGCACGGUGGAUGCCUUGGCACUAGGAGCCGAUGAAGGACGGGACGAACACCGAUAUGCUUCGGGGAGCUGUAAGCAAGCUUUGAUCCGGAGAUUUCCGAAUGGGGAAACCCACCACUCGUAAUGGAGUGGUAUCCAUAUCUGAAUUCAUAGGAUAUGAGAAGGCAGACCCGGGGAACUGAAACAUCUAAGUACCCGGAGGAAGAGAAAGCAAAUGCGAUUCCCUGAGUAGCGGCGAGCGAAACGGGAUCAGCCCAAACCAAGAGGCUUGCCUCUUGGGGUUGUAGGACACUCUGUACGGAGUUACAAAGGAACGAGGUAGAUGAAGAGGUCUGGAAAGGCCCGCCAUAGGAGGUAACAGCCCUGUAGUCAAAACUUCGUUCUCUCCUGAGUGGAUCCUGAGUACGGCGGAACACGUGAAAUUCCGUCGGAAUCCGGGAGGACCAUCUCCCAAGGCUAAAUACUCCCUAGUGACCGAUAGUGAACCAGUACCGUGAGGGAAAGGUGAAAAGCACCCCGGAAGGGGAGUGAAAGAGAUCCUGAAACCGUGUGCCUACAAGUAGUCAGAGCCCGUUAACGGGUGAUGGCGUGCCUUUUGUAGAAUGAACCGGCGAGUUACGAUCUCGUGCAAGGUUAAGCAGAAGAUGCGGAGCCGCAGCGAAAGCGAGUCUGAAUAGGGCGCAUGAGUACGUGGUCGUAGACCCGAAACCAGGUGAUCUACCCAUGUCCAGGGUGAAGUUCAGGUAACACUGAAUGGAGGCCCGAACCCACGCACGUUGAAAAGUGCGGGGAUGAGGUGUGGGUAGGGGUGAAAUGCCAAUCGAACCUGGAGAUAGCUGGUUCUCUCCGAAAUAGCUUUAGGGCUAGCCUCAAGGUAAGAGUCUUGGAGGUAGAGCACUGAUUGGACUAGGGGCCCCUACCGGGUUACCGAAUUCAGUCAAACUCCGAAUGCCAAUGACUUAUCCUUGGGAGUCAGACUGCGAGUGAUAAGAUCCGUAGUCGAAAGGGAAACAGCCCAGACCGCCAGCUAAGGUCCCAAAGUAUACGUUAAGUGGAAAAGGAUGUGGAGUUGCUUAGACAACCAGGAUGUUGGCUUAGAAGCAGCCACCAUUUAAAGAGUGCGUAAUAGCUCACUGGUCGAGUGACUCUGCGCCGAAAAUGUACCGGGGCUAAACGUAUCACCGAAGCUGCGGACUGUUCUUCGAACAGUGGUAGGAGAGCGUUCUAAGGGCUGUGAAGCCAGACCGGAAGGACUGGUGGAGCGCUUAGAAGUGAGAAUGCCGGUAUGAGUAGCGAAAGAGGGGUGAGAAUCCCCUCCACCGAAUGCCUAAGGUUUCCUGAGGAAGGCUCGUCCGCUCAGGGUUAGUCGGGACCUAAGCCGAGGCCGAAAGGCGUAGGCGAUGGACAACAGGUUGAUAUUCCUGUACCACCUCCUCACCAUUUGAGCAAUGGGGGGACGCAGGAGGAUAGGGUAAGCGCGGUAUUGGAUAUCCGCGUCCAAGCAGUUAGGCUGGGAAAUAGGCAAAUCCGUUUCCCAUAAGCCUGAGCUGUGAUGGCGAGCGAAAUAUAGUAGCGAAGUUCCUGAUUCCACACUGCCAAGAAAAGCCUCUAGCGAGGUGAGAGGUGCCCGUACCGCAAACCGACACAGGUAGGCGAGGAGAGAAUCCUAAGGUGAUCGAGAGAACUCUCGUUAAGGAACUCGGCAAAAUGACCCCGUAACUUCGGGAGAAGGGGUGCUCUGUUAGGGUGCAAGCCCGAGAGAGCCGCAGUGAAUAGGCCCAGGCGACUGUUUAGCAAAAACACAGGUCUCUGCGAAGCCGUAAGGCGAAGUAUAGGGGCUGACGCCUGCCCGGUGCUGGAAGGUUAAGAGGAGCGCUUAGCGUAAGCGAAGGUGCGAAUUGAAGCCCCAGUAAACGGCGGCCGUAAACGGUCCUAAGGUAGCGAAAUUCCUUGUCGGGUAAGUUCCGACCCGCACGAAAGGCGCAACGAUCUGGGCACUGUCUCAACGAGAGACUCGGUGAAAUUAUAGUACCUGUGAAGAUGCAGGUUACCCGCGACAGGACGGAAAGACCCCGUGGAGCUUUACUGCAGCCUGAUAUUGAAUUCUAACCCGCCGCCCUUAUCGGGCGGGGAGACAGUGUCAGGUGGGCAGUUUGACUGGGGCGGUCGCCUCCUAAAAGGUAACGGAGGCGCCCAAAGGUUCCCUCAGAAUGGUUGGAAAUCAUUCGCAGAGUGUAAAGGCACAAGGGAGCUUGACUGCGAGACCUACAAGUCGAGCAGGGACGAAAGUCGGGCUUAGUGAUCCGGUGGUUCCGCAUGGAAGGGCCAUCGCUCAACGGAUAAAAGCUACCCCGGGGAUAACAGGCUUAUCUCCCCCAAGAGUCCACAUCGACGGGGAGGUUUGGCACCUCGAUGUCGGCUCAUCGCAUCCUGGGGCUGUAGUCGGUCCCAAGGGUUGGGCUGUUCGCCCAUUAAAGCGGUACGCGAGCUGGGUUCAGAACGUCGUGAGACAGUUCGGUCCCUAUCCGUCGCGGGCGCAGGAAAUUUGAGAGGAGCUGUCCUUAGUACGAGAGGACCGGGAUGGACGCACCGCUGGUGUACCAGUUGUUCUGCCAAGGGCAUCGCUGGGUAGCUAUGUGCGGACGGGAUAAGUGCUGAAAGCAUCUAAGCAUGAAGCCCCCCUCAAGAUGAGAUUUCCCAUUCCGCAAGGAAGUAAGAUCCCUGAAAGAUGAUCAGGUUGAUAGGUCUGAGGUGGAAGUGUGGCGACACAUGGAGCUGACAGAUACUAAUCGAUCGAGGACUUAAC